AUUGUCCCGCUUGGGAUUCUACUAGUUUGACCUGCAAUAACGAGACUUGUCCAAGAGCCGGGCACUUGAAAAUUGAUGAUAACUAUCCCGUUGUGUCACAAUCAGUGACCAAAAAUCAGUCAUCAUCCAGAGAAGUUGGACAGAUGACCUUAAUAUAUAAAGAGAAAGUUCAUAUUGGAGCAAAAAAUAAGAAGUAUAUGCUCCAGGACCUGUGUGAAUCACAGCUGCCAGAAAACCAAGAAAGCAGAAAAGAUUCUCCUGAAAAAUAUCCUCAUUUGAAGUCUACUGUUGUGGUGAAAAUGUCUGUUCAUCAUAAAACAGUUGGCACGAAGGCUUUGCAAAUGUCCAGAGCAGGUACAUUUUGCAAUAUAACUUUAACUCUGAAAAGGACGCUAAAAUAUUUGGAAUGCUCACAGUCUUCUUACUCCCUUUUGUUUUCUUAGCAAAUUUAGUUGACGGAUUUGACAUACCUAAGGUAGAUGUUAUUGUUGGUAUAGGUGCUUUGAAAGGUAUGAAUAUGCUAAAGAGAUUUUAUAAUUUAGUUAGUUAGUUUCUGAUUGAUGUUAUUAAAAGGAGACCAACAACAGGAUGCACUUUAGUAUACUUUUGGUUGAGGUGACUUGCUUUUUUAUAUAUUUUUGUUUAUCGUGGUCCUUUUACAGUGAUCUCUCAAAUCAUGCUGUACCACAAGUGACCCANACACACACACACACACACACACACACACACACACACACAUUCUUCAUCUCAGAUUUUCUUCUAACAUCGUCUGUCAAAAUUGAUUGGAUAUAGUCCCUUGUGCUAUACAGGAAGACCCCAUUGCAUAUCCAUUCUAACUGAAAUAGUUUGC
rnacentral:lncRNA from 1 species